UACGAAGGGGGCUAGCGUUGUCCGGAAUCAUUGGGCGUAAAGAGCUCGUAGGUGGUCUGUUACGUCUGCUGUGAAAUCCUAGGGCUUAACCCUGGGCCUGCAGUGGAUACGGGCAGACUAGAGGUAGGUAGGGGAGAAUGGAAUUCCCGGUGUAGCGGUGAAAUGCGCAGAUAUCGGGAGGAACACCGGUGGCGAAGGCGGCUUACUGGGUCUUUUCUGACGCUGAUGCACGAAAGCUAGGGGAGCAAACGGG
rnacentral:rRNA from 1 species